rnacentral:lncRNA from 1 species
AUGUCAGCUAGAGCCAUAGAGAGCGGGGAAGGCCAUGCCUUGGGCUCCCUCCUGCUAGAAUUGCUGCAGGAAGGUGAGUGCCCUUGUGGAAGCUCGCGAGGGUGGGUGGCCCAGACUUGGGGUUCCUGGGCGGGCAGCGGGGGUCUGGGUUCUGGCCUGGGGCUGCCACCAGGUGCCCUGGGCCCAUCAAUCCUCUUCCCCCUGGGCCUCAGCCUCCUGCUCUGUGCAGGCAGGACCUCCAGCUCUCCACUGGUGCUGGGCCUUCCUCUCUCUGUCGUCUCCUUGGUUCACCUCCAAGCACCCUUGACACCUCUCAGCUCAGCUUCCCCUGAGGUGCCCUCCCUACAUCAGAGAUCCGGGGGGCUUCAGGAAAGGGUGGAGGGGGCUGUGUGGGGUCUCUCUUCUCCCAGCUGCCCGCACCGCUGUGCGCUCCCCCAUUAUUUCUUUCUUCCAGAGGAAGAAGAACCUUCCGAGUCAAGCAACCAGACCUCCUAUGGCUCUUCUCCUGGGAAGCCACCAAAGGGACCACAUCAGGGACGAGAUGACUUUGGUUCUGACCCCAGAGAUCCACCCAAUUUCUACCAUUAUGCAGGCAUGACGGCAGCUGCUGUGAUUGGAGGAGUCGUGGCCGUGAGGGCUGUGCCUGAGUUGCUGGACACCGUGGGCUUCACCAGAACAGGAAUCUCCCGCUCCUCCUUAGCAGCCAAGAUGAUGUCAUCAACUGCCAGAGCCAAUGGGGGCGGAGUUCCCUCUGGCAGCCUAGUCUCCAACCUCCAGUCCAAGGGUUUGGUGCUUGUCUGUUUUGGUGCCAUGGAAUUCACCAAGGUUGCCCUCUUAGCCUCUAACCUGGCUUCCAAGAUACUGUCUGCAGGGAGCCUGGCCAAAGUGGGCGGGGCGGCCUCCAGCAGCAUCUUGGCAGGACUUCCUUCACUGGGGCUCACUCUGCCAUCCAGCACUGCCCUGGCGGGGGCCACGUCUACCCUGGGAUCCUUGGUGGGGACGCUGAAAGGCUCCUUCCUGCUCGGAUCCCCCGCUGCGGCCCUGAGCACUUUGCCAGUAGGAGCUUCCACCGUGGUGGCUGUGCCCGUGGUGCUGGGCGCAGUCGGCUUCACCAGUACAGGAAUCACCGCCUCCUCCUUAGCAGCCAAGAUGAUGUCAAUAUCUGCCAUUGCCAAUGGGGGCGGAGUUGCCGCUGGCAGCCUGGUGGCCACUCUCCAGUCCGUGGGAGCAAGCGGACUCUCCCUGUCAUCCAAACUCCUGGUGAGCUUCGCUGGGUCCACCCUCGUGUCCAAACUGGUGGGCCUGUAACAUCCCCUGUAGCUCCCUCGGCAGAGAAGAGGACCAGGU